CAUGCUGACGUGACUAAAUCUUUUCUUCUCUGGGCCAAAUAUCACCAAUGUUUGCGUUAUUCUUCACUUGGUGUAGAUUUAGGGUUUCUCACUAUUCUGACUGCCUGUACUAGUAUCCUGCUGCCCCACCUGGAAUGUGAUGCUCAGAGUUGUUCUUCUCGUAUUCUCUUUGGAGGAAGUCUACACACACCAAAGGGAUACUGCCCACCAAGAAAGACAGGACCACACAUGUUCAUUUGUGUAGCAAAUGGGAAGAAUUAUCAGACUUUACUCAAAGGAAAAAAAUUGUUGAAAAAAAUUGAAGUGGAUAACGUAAGGGAAGUACUGACAAAGGUGAGCGUAGAAGUCAAAAUAGCUCUUGCCUUCCUGGAGCAAUGUGCUACCACCUGGGGACUUAUCAGCAACAGAUUUGGCAGCAGGAUUCCUCAAAAGUAGGCCGUGGUGUCCUUUCCUACAGUUCAUUACCAGUGGGCAAGGAGGGCCUACUCGGGUUGCCAAAGUCUCAACACUGAUUCGCAGGCAGUGGGGAGAGAGCGUUUCCCGGAUGCGCACCUCCAGCCAGGAGGCAAACGUUUGCCACGGGGGAAUUUUUGUUUCUCCCUAAGCAAGAGGUUAUACUAAAGAAGGACUCCUUUGCGAAUGUUUACAUAUCCGACCCAAUUUUAUUUUUAAUUUUACCGUGCAUGUGUGCCGAGGCAUUUUGGUGAAGGAAAUGGUUACAGAUGUCACACUGGAAGAAUUCUUUUAUUUGGGGGUCUUGGGAUUUGAAGACUGCAUUGGAACUGUCAGUCUCAGCCAUUCUGUCGCAAAGUUCAUGAAAGGAAAACAUUUGAAAGCCAGAGGGGGAAAAUGAAAAGUAUCUGAUCUAGGCUGUGACUCUGUUGUCAACGUCAUUUUCAUGGAAAGAACCAUGGCCCUGACUUGGCAGUUUGUGAACACAGAAUUGUUUCCUUGAGGGAAGACACCACAGUGAAGACAGAGGAUGCCCAAACACUGGGCCAAAAAACCCAAAAUUUGUCAGCCACAGCAGGGACUGCAGCAUUGGGAGAAUGCCUCCCUGGUGGAUUGUGACUUCUUUUGUCCAGACGCUAUGCUUUCUAUGUAAUCAUCAUAUCAUUUGGAUGAAGGCUCAGACUUAAAAGUUAUAGAGAAAAUUGUCAGAAAUUUGGGUGGGGAGAAGGCUACCAUGUCAUGGGACAGCACCAUGGAGAGGCUCACAUGGCAAGGAGCUGAGCUCUGUGGAAAAUUCAGUCCUGACCAGAGUGGGGGCCAAGAUGUCGGCAUGUGAUGGCUGAACUUUGGAUGCACUGGAGUUUGGACUUGAGACAAAGCCUAUAGAAGACCCAAGAACUCUCCAAUGAGGAGAUCUUACCUUCUUAUGUACUAGCAGUGAGUGUAUACAGAGCCAUAGCUGGUGAACUAACCUGGAGGAGUCAACAGGAAACUUGCCAUUUGUAAUGUUGCCAAACUUCCAGGAGAUCAAUAGUAGAUCUUAAGGUCUGAUUUGGAACUAUUUGUCCCAUAUAUAUACCUGAACUUCUGUACUAUGAAAGUGAUCCUUGAUCAUGUGGAUUGAAAGAAGUGAUGUUAUGGGAAAUUCUGUUACUUGUUUACAAUUUUUCAUCAUCUCUGCAUCCUUGUCAUCCUUCUCUAAAGAAAACAUAUUCUCUUUAUCCCAUUGA